CUAUGUCCAUUACUUCAUAGUUCUCUUGUUAAACCUCACAGGUUACCGUUCCUAAGUUUUCUCAACAAUCCUAAUGAGUGCCGUGUAUUGCCUAGUGCAUUUUUUAUUUGGACUCGUGCGGACUGUGUCACAUAGUGAUUGGAAUAAAUCACAACUACCAAAAGAAGGACUUAUGGUUGAUUUUUCCCUAUGUUGAUCUUCCAUGGUUCUAUGGAGAUUGUUUGAGGAAAUGGAUCGUUUAAUCCUUC
rnacentral:lncRNA from 1 species